GCACUGAUUACUUCUCUGCCCAGCAACUUCCUCAUCCUUCAAGACUCAACUUGGACAUCACUUCUGCUAAGAAGUCUUCCCAGAACUUUCCUGGAUUUAAAAGGGUGAACUCAUGUCUAUUAACAUAUCCCGCCCGCGCAGCCCUCACCCGCCGACACCACCGGCCUCCGCCGGAUCGCGUUAUCAAUCAGGCCGGAGCAGUAGCCCAAGAAGCCGACGUAGGCGAGCCGCGGGUCAGUCAGCUUGGGCGGCGGCAGGCUCCGGGCCUCAUCCGGCAGGAGCUGUAAGGGCAUUCGGCUCGGCCGUCCGCUCAUCAUGGUGAUGCCGUUCUCACUUGAGGCCUGACCUCAGACCGCCAA